UAUUGCGCAAUGGGGGAAACCCUGACGCAGCAACGCCGCGUGAAGGAAGUAGGUCUUCGGAUUGUAAACUUCUUUGAUCAGGGACGAAACAAAUGACGGUACCUGAGGAACAAGCCACGGCUAACUACGUGCCAGCAGCCGCGGUAAUACGUAGGUGGCGAGCGUUAUCCGGAUUUACUGGGUGUAAAGGGCGUGUAGGCGGCUCUGCAAGUCAGAUGUGAAAUUUCCGGGCUUAACCCGGACGGGUCAUCUGAAACUGCAGGACUUGAGUACUGGAGAGGAUAGCGGAAUUCCUAGUGUAGCGGUAAAAUGCGUAGAUAUUAGGAGGAACACCGGUGGCGAAGGCGGCUAUCUGGACAGUAACUGACGCUGAGGCGCGAAAGCGUGGGGAGCAAACAGG
rnacentral:rRNA from 1 species